rnacentral:tRNA from 2 species
GCCUCCCUAGCUCAAUGGUAGAGUAGCGGUUCUGUAAACCGUCGAUGACAGUUCGAUUUCUGUCGGGAGGCUCAA